CCUAAGCGACUUACUCACACAAUAACGCGUGCACAGACGUGCCGUUCACACAUAUAAACGCCAAUGAUUUUCGAUGUAUGGCGUGUCCGCCCUGUGGUAGGAUAAUAGUACAUUAUUGCAGAGGCCGGGAAAGGGCAAUUCGUGGAUGAGUUUCGAUUUUGUCGGACGACGCGAAGCGGAGUCCGACAAAGAAGACGAAUCCACGAAUUGCUAUUCCUGCCGAGGCAUAUAUAGUGCUUUUCUCCAAACAUGCGAGGAAAUAAGGUAAAAUAAUAAUUAUUUAAGCAUCAAGCAUCACUCAAAUCGAACCUUCACAUCAAAAAUGUCAAAAACAAUUUCCCUCUUUAA